GUGCUUGGGAGCACACACACUAAAAGUUGAACAAUAUAGAUAUGAUAAGCAUGUCUCCUGCACAAGG
rnacentral:snRNA from 1 species